rnacentral:rRNA from 1 species
AAAUUGAAGAGUUUGAUCAUGGCUCAGAUUGAACGCUGGCGGCAGGCCUAACACAUGCAAGUCGAGCGGAAACGAGUUAUCUGAACCUUCGGGGGACGAUAACGGCGUCGAGCGGCGGACGGGUGAGUAAUGCCUAGGAAAUUGCCCUGAUGUGGGGGAUAACCAUUGGAAACGAUGGCUAAUACCGCAUAAUAGCUUCGGCUCAAAGAGGGGGACCUUCGGGCCUCUCGCGUCAGGAUAUGCCCAGGUGGGAUUAGCUAGUU